AUUGAACGCUGGCGGCAUGCUUUACACAUGCAAGUCGAACGGCAGCGCGGGCUUCGGCCUGGCGGCGAGUGGCGAACGGGUGAGUAAUAUAUCGGAACGUACCCAGAAGUGGGGGAUAACGUAGCGAAAGUUACGCUAAUACCGCAUACGAUCUACGGAUGAAAGUAGGGGACCGCAAGGCCUUAUGCUUUUGGAGCGGCCGAUAUCUGAUUAGCUAGUUGGUGAGGUAAUGGCUCACCAAGGCGACGAUCAGUAGCUGGUCUGAGAGGACGACCAGCCACACUGGAACUGAGACACGGUCCAGACUCCUACGGGAGGCAGCAGUGGGGAAUUUUGGACAAUGGGCGCAACCCUGAUCCAGCAAUGCCGCGUGAGUGAAGAAGGCCUUCGGGUUGUAAAGCUCUUUUGUCAGGGAAGAAACGGCUGUGGCUAAUAUCCACGGCUAAUGACGGUACCUGAAGAAUAAGCACCGGCUAACUACGUGCCAGCAGCCGCGGUAAUACGUAGGGUGCAAGCGUUAAUCGGAAUUACUGGGCGUAAAGCGUGCGCAGGCGGUUUCGUAAGUCUGAUGUGAAAUCCCCGGGCUUAACCUGGGAAUUGCAUUGGAGACUGCGAGGCUAGAAUCUGGCAGAGGGGGGUAGAAUUCCACGUGUAGCAGUGAAAUGCGUAGAGAUGUGGAGGAACACCGAUGGCGAAGGCAGCCCCCUGGGUCAAGAUUGACGCUCAUGCACGAAAGCGUGGGGAGCAAACAGGAUUAGAUACCCUGGUAGUCCACGCCCUAAACGAUGUCUACUAGUUGUCGGGUUUUAAUUAACUUGGUAACGCAGCUAACGCGUGAAGUAGACCGCCUGGGGAGUACGGUCGCAAGAUUAAAACUCAAAGGAAUUGACGGGGACCCGCACAAGCGGUGGAUGAUGUGGAUUAAUUCGAUGCAACGCGAAAAACCUUACCUACCCUUGACAUGUCAGGAAGUCCGGAGAGAUCUGGAUGUGCCCGAAAGGGAACCUGAACACAGGUGCUGCAUGGCUGUCGUCAGCUCGUGUCGUGAGAUGUUGGGUUAAGUCCCGCAACGAGCGCAACCCUUGUCAUUAGUUGCUACGCAAGAGCACUCUAAUGAGACUGCCGGUGACAAACCGGAGGAAGGUGGGGAUGACGUCAAGUCCUCAUGGCCCUUAUGGGUAGGGCUUCACACGUCAUACAAUGGUACAUACAGAGGGCCGCCAACCCGCGAGGGGGAGCUAAUCCCAGAAAGUGUAUCGUAGUCCGGAUCGUAGUCUGCAACUCGACUACGUGAAGUUGGAAUCGCUAGUAAUCGCGGAUCAGCAUGCCGCGGUGAAUACGUUCCCGGGUCUUGUA
rnacentral:rRNA from 1 species